rnacentral:rRNA from 1 species
AACGAACGCUGGCGGCGUGCCUAACACAUGCAAGUCGAACGAGAACGUCCGGUUUAGGGGCCCACGGGUGCGUACGGCGUGGGAACCUGCCCGUAGGUUCGCUAUAACUCCCCGAAAGGGGUGCUAAUACCGGACAAUGUCUUCGGACCAAAGAUUUAUCGCUUUUGGAUGGGCCCGCGUUGGAUUAGCUAGUGGGUAGGGUAAAAGCCUACCAAGGCGAGGUUCCAUAGCUGGUCGGGGAGGAUGACCAGCAGCACUGGGACUGAGACACGGCCCAGACUCGUAGGGGAGGGAGGAGUAGGGAAUAUUGGGCGAGGGGCGAAAGCCUGAUACAGCCGUGCCGGGGAAGUGGGGAAGGGGUUAGGAUUGUAAAGCUGUUUGGGCCGGGAUGUGAAUGACAGUACCGGGAGAAUAAGCGCCGGCUAACUCCGUG